rnacentral:rRNA from 1 species
CACGUAGGGGGCGAGCGUUGUCCGGAUUCAUUGGGCGUAAAGCGCGCGUAGGCGGCUCGGAAAGUCGGUCGUGAAAUGCCGGGGCUCAACCCCGGGACUGCGUCCGAUACUCCCGAGCUGGAGGCAGGUAGGGGAGAUCGGAAUUCCUGGUGUAGCGGUGAAAUGCGCAGAUAUCAGGAAGAACACCCGUGGCGAAGGCGGUUCUCUGGGACGGUACUGACGCUGAGACGCGAAAGCGUGGGGAGCGAACAGG